CCUAUCUGGUUGAUCCUGCCAGUAGUCAUAUGCUUGUUUCAAAGACUAAGCCAUGCAUGUCUAAGUCCAAGCUGUGUGUACGCAAGUACACGCGGCGAAACCGCGGACGGCUCAUUAAAUCAGUCGUGGUCCAAAUGGGCUAGAGUUAUCUUACUUGGAUAACUGUGGUAAUUCCAGAGCUAAUACAUGCAACUGAAAUCCUUUGCAAAGGUAUGCGCGUGUUCGCGCGUGUGUGCUUGAGUAUCGGAUGCUUUUAUUAGACCAAACCGCUAACAUGUGCUACAUUGGUGUAGAUAUGUCGUUCAUUCGUACUUCGGUGCGUUUCGUCUUCUGCCUGCGCUUUGUGUACGCACUAGGCUCGUGUUAUGGUGACUCUGGAUAACACCUCAUGACAAGCGCACUGUAUCCAUUUCAAAUGGGACGGCGCUGCCACUUUCGAGUGUCUGCCUUAUCAAGCAUAUGAAUCAGUUCGUUAUGUGCGACCGAUGGCUUUGACGGGUAACGGGGAAUCAGGGUUCGAUUCCGGAGAGGCAGCCUGAGAAACGGCUACCACGUCCAAGGACGGCAGCAGGCACGCAAAUUACCCAAAUCCCAGCACAUGGGGGAGGUAGUGACGAAAUCUAACGAUGCGGGCGCCCCUUCUGGGGCCCCGCAAUCGGAAUGGGCACUUUCUUUCUAGACACCCUGUUGAGAACCUACUGAAGGGCAAGUCUGGUGCCAGCAGCCGCGCGUAAUUCCAGCUUCAGUAGCAUCUACUAAAGUUGCUGCGGUUAAAAGGCUCGCAGUUGAAUGUCAGUAACAAGUGCAGCGAUGGUGGACGUUGGAGUGUGUUGUUCAUUUAGUGGCUGUUUUGUUGCGUUUCGCGUUGGCAUACAGUCAUUUGUGGCUUCACGUCUUACUCCCGUCCGUAACAAGCCUCCUCACUUGCUUACAAAAACGGAUUUGUGGUGUGUUUGCCGAGUCUCUGUAACUCUUAACGGAGUUAUAUAUUCGGUUUACACUUUGGAUUCAAGGUCACCUUGAGUAAAUCAGAGUGCUCAAAGCAGUCGUAAGGAACGUGUGGGUGGUAACAUUCGCAUGUUCUGUGAUAUGGAUGUCUUCAUUGACAGACAGUCUUGGUUUUGCAUGGUAUGUCGAAAGACGCCGUAUCUUGUUGGUUACGAGUCUUGUGCGGUGGUGUGUAAAUCGAACGUGUUCCCUCUGCUUCAUUCUUUUUCUUUAUCGAGGGAGAGUGUUAGUACGGAUACGGUAGAGAGCCCACUCAAGACCAACAAGUGCGGAAUGAUUAAGAGACCCGGUCGAAGGCAUUGGUAUUGCGAGGCGAGAGGUGAAAUUCUAUGACCCCCCGCAAGACCUCCUGAAGCGAAAGCGUCUGCCAAGGACGUUUUCAUUAAUCAUGAACGAAAGUUAGAGGAUCGAAGGCGAUCAGAUACCGCCCUAGUUCUAACCCUAAACGAUGCCAACCAUCAAUCCGUGCGUAGCACCCUUUCUAACGGGCUCGACGGGCAGCUCCCCACUCACGGGAAACCAGAGUCUCUGGGUUCCGGGGGGAGUCUGGUUGCAAAGCUGAAACUUAAAGGAAUUGACGGAAAGGCAUCACCAGGCGUGGAGCCUGCGGCUUAAUUUGACUCAACACGGGCAAUCUCACCAGGCCAGCACUCUUGUACGAUUGACAGAUUGAGAGUUCUUUCUCGAUUAAGUGGAUGGUGGUGCAUGGCCGUUCUUAGUUGGUGGAGUGAUCUGUCUGGUUAAUUCCGAUAACGAACGAGACUCUUCCCUGUUAAAUAGUCGGUUGGAUCUUGCGUCCUUAAAGAGUCGGUGGCUUUCUUUUCGCGCGCGUAUGCCUUUACGGGUGUGCGUGUGAGUGGGGAAGUCAUCGCUCCAAGUCCACUGCUUACUGGUUAUUUUGCGUAUGGGUGCUUCGUUGUUUGUGCGUGAGCGCGCUCUGUCUCUCGUGGGCUCUUUUUCUUGUAUGCUGGGAUUCAUCUCAGUAUGCGGGUGGGGGUUUGCUUGAGUAUUGUGUGUUUGCGUAUACGUGGCGUUGUAUUUGUGCGUGAAGGUUAGUAAAACUCUUCUUAGAGGGAUUCACGGUUCUGAAGCCGUAAGAAACUGAGAGCAAUAACAGGUCUGUGAUGCCCUUAGAUGUUCUGGGCCGCACGCGCGCUACAAUGCCGUGCACAGCAUGUGUUUUUCCUUCUCCGAGAGGAGUGGGUAACCAUCUGAAAGCACUGACAAUUAAUGAUAAUAGCGUACUCACGUACGUCUUCCAUCGCCGGCUUGCUUGGGCCUGGGGCUUGCAAUUCUUUCCCACAAACGAGGAAUGCCUAGUAGCGGCGGGUCACUGAGCCUGCCUUGACUCAGUCCCUGCCCUUUGUACACACCGCCCGUCGCUACUACCGAUUGGGUGUACCAGUGAGAUCCUUGGACUGGCGAACCUUGUAAAGCGUGCAUUUAUGUGCGAAUGAGCAAGCGUGACCGACGGAAAGAGGCUCGAACUGGUGCACUUAGAGGAAGUAAAAGUCGUAACAAGGUUUCCGUAGUGAACCUGCGGAAGGAUCAUUA
rnacentral:rRNA from 1 species